rnacentral:misc_RNA from 1 species
AAAGUCGUAACAAGGUUUCCGUAGGUGAACCUGCGGAAGGAUCAUUCAUAAUAAGUGUUUUUACUAGCACUUUUUAAAUCUAGUACCCACCUUGUGUGCAACGUGUUGUGAAAGUCCUUUUUGGACUUGAGCAAUAAUACCAACUUUUAUCUAUAACGUCUUUGUCUGAAUCAUAUGAUGAAUAUACAAAUUCAAAAUAUAACUUUCAACAACGGAUCUCUUGGCUCUC